rnacentral:rRNA from 1 species
AGAGUUUGAUUCUGGCUCAGAACGAACGCUGGCGGCGUGGAUAAGACAUGCAAGUCGAGCGGGAGCUGUCAUGUAGCGAUAUGUGGCAGUUCUAGCGGCGAAAGGGUGCGUAACACGUGGGUAAUCUACCGUAAAGUUCGGAAUAACCCGCCGAAAGGCGAGCUAAUGCCGAAUGUGGCUCCUCGGGGGCAUCCCUGAUGAGCUGAAGCUGGGGACCGCAAGGCCUGGCGCUUUACGAUGAGCCCGCGGCCUAUCAGCUAGAUGGUGGGGUAACGGCCUACCAUGGCUACGACGGGUAGCUGGUCUGAGAGGACGAUCAGCCACACUGGAACUGAGACACGGUCCAGACACCUACGGGUGGCAGCAGUCGAGAAUCUUUCACAAUGGGCGAAAGCCUGAUGGAGCGACGCCGCGUGGGGGAUGAAUGGCUUCGGUCCGUAAACCCCUGUCAUUCGUGAGCAAUGCGUUUCGUUGAAUAGGCGGAACGUUGAUAGUAGCGAAAGAGGAAGGGACGGCUAACUCUGUGCCAGCAGCCGCGGUAAUACAGAGGUCCCAAGCGUUGUUCGGAUUUACUGGGCGUAAAGCGUGCGUAGGUGGCUAGGUAAGUUUGGUGUGAAAUCUCCGGGCUCAACUCGGAAACUGCACUGAAUACUACUUGGCUAGAGGGCUGGAUGGGGGACUGGAAUUCUCGGUGUAGCAGUGAAAUGCGUAGAUAUCGAGAGGAACACCAGUGGCGAAGGCGAGUCCCUGGACAGAUCCUGACACUGAGGUACGAAAGCUAGGGGAUCAAACAGGAUUAGAUACCCUGGUAGUCCUAGCCGUAAACGGUGCGCACUUGCUGUGGGCGGAAUCGACCCCGUCCGUGGCGAAGCUAACGCGUUAAGUGCGCCGCCUGGGGAGUACGGUCGCAAGACUAAAACUCAAAGAACUUGACGGGGGCCUGCACAAGCGGUGGAGUAUGUGGCUUAAUUCGAUCCAACGCGAAGAACCUUACCUGGCCUUGACAUGCAGGUAGUAAAAGCCUGAAAGGGUGAUGAUUCCGCAAGGAAAGCUUGCACAGGUGCUGCAUGGCUGUCGUCAGCUCGUGUCGUGAGAUGUUGGGUUAAGUCCCGCAACGAGCGCAACCCCUGUGUCCUGUUGCCACUCCCGCGAGAGCGGGAAGCACUCUGGACAGACUGCCUCGUCUAAACGAGGAGGAAGGUGGGGAUGACGUCAAGUCAGUAUGGCCCUUACGGCCAGGGCUGCACACGUACUACAAUGCCCGGCACAGAGGGCAGCGAUACCGUAAGGUGGAGCAAAUCCCAAAAAACCGGGCCCAGUUCAGAUUGUCGUCUGCAACUCGACGGCAUGAAGCCGGAAUCGCUAGUAACGGCGUAUCAUCUACGACGCCGUGAAUACGUUCCCAGGCCUUGUACACACCGCCCGUCACAUCAUGAAAGCCGGUUGUACCCGAAGUCGCUGUGCCAACCCUUAGGAGGUAGGCGCCGAAGGUAUGGCUGGUGAUUGGGAUGAAGUCGUAACAAGGUA